GCUUAUUUAGUAUAAAUAGUACGGCUGCCUUCCAAGUAGCGAGUUUAAGGGUUUUUAAAAUAAGUA
rnacentral:tRNA from 1 species